rnacentral:piRNA from 1 species
UAUGCCAUCUGUUUCCUCAAA